ensembl:lncRNA
AUGGUUCAUCACGUCCUCACGAGCCCACCACUUGGGCUCAACGUCAGCGCAAUUCCUGAGCGAAGCGAGGUCACCUCCUUUCCCACAGAGAGGAGGAAAGGGCCCGGAUCCAGCCCCGCGUGGGGACGGGAGGACAACGCAGCUCUGUGUUUCUGGCCCGUGCUCAUCCCCAAUCACAACCAUAUGGGAACGGGAACCUGCCUCCAUAGCCGGGGGCUCGAGGCAAGCAAUUGCUUUCGAUUGAGGAGAGGCGCAUCAUUUCCCCAGGACGCACUAUUAAAGAAGAAAAGCCUUGCCAAUGUUAUGUUUUAUAAUGCAAUAAUUUUCCUAACAGCCCAACAUGGUUCAUCAGCAUGUGAUCUGGCAUGUGAUCAGCUUUCCUUUCAGCCAUCCGGACGGGCUGCAAGAGCAGGUACCACACUGCAGCCUAGGACACCGCGGUCUGCAUUGGGAUUUACCCACAGAAAAGACUCCCUGAGGAAUCUGUGUAUAAAGCAGAGGAGUGAAAAGACAAGCAAUAUUAAAAAUAAAUUCAGAGAAGCCAGAAAGCCAGGAAUCUGAUGCAGUUUUAGAGGCAUGGCAACAUAACAAGAGCAGCAGCACACAGGGACAGGAAAACCCUCUGCUUUUAGAGUUGCUUGGCACCAGGCAUGAAAUCUUCAGUUUGAGAUAUAGGGGAGGAACCUAUAUAUUAACACAUCGUGACAAGAUCCAACUACCCUGCUGGCUUCCCCAGAAAAUAGGGGUCACGCAGCCAGCCUGUCUGCCUUCCGAGCUGGGGGAUUUUUCCUCAUUUUCUUCCUGACUCCGCUAAAUUAUCUCGUAGCAAAGCCUUCCUUGGUUAACUCUUGAAGCCCCAAAAUGAAGGUUAUGAGUUUGUGGUGGGUUUUGGUCCCUAAAGCUUCGGAUGUAUCUCCUGCUCCAUCCCAUCCCUGCUGCAGGGGAAAGGAUGGAUAGGUGCAUCCGGACGGAUCCUGCCCCGGAGCCAGCGGCCCAGCUUUCCUGUGGCUUUCCAGAGAUGCUGCUGAAGAGCCAGCAACAUAACCUCUUAAAAUCUUAGUUUUUAACGUCACCGGAUGGUAAAACACACUCAGAGCUGGCAGUUUUGAUCACUUGUGGCAAAACACUACAUUGAGCAGAGGGUUAAAAGCGCACAGAUCUCGUGCUGAGCACGAAGGUUUGUGCAGCGUCACCCAAACGCCUGUUCAGGCUGGUUUGUGAUUUCUUUUCUCCUAGCUUAAACAGCUCCGGGCAAGCGAUCCCCUACUGAAAGGAAGCCACCGCAAGGAGCUUGGGUUGCAGCUACGAGGUGGCUGCGCACCACGACGGACACGUGGCCGCAGGCUGCCCCCGGCUGCAAUAGAUCCGCUCCGACAGGGCAGGAUUCACACAGCGCCUGUGAGCACCAGGCAGACAGCUGACCAAGACAACCGGGGACAACCGGCUGUGACACAAGGGCUUCCACGUGCCCCAAGCCCAGUGUCAGACACCCCCCUCGAUUUUGUGAGCACGUAUGGAUAGAUGCGCCCACGGGUCCGAGGGAGCUGAGAGGUACCCAGGGAGCAAGCUCAACUGCGCAUCCAAAUGAAAGGGAAUAAAUCCACACAAUCACCUUUUUCUGCCCA